CCCUUAGAUGUCCGGGGCUGCACGCGCGCUACACUGAAGGAAUCAGCGUGCUAAAACCAUUGUCGAAAGGCAUUGGUAAACCCAUUAAAAUCCUACGUGAUUGGGAUCGGGAAUUGCAAUUAUUUCCCUUGAACGAGGAAUUCCCAGUAAGUGUGGGUCAUAAGCUCGCGUUGAUUACGUCCCUGCCCUUUGUACACACCGCCCGUCGCUGCCCGGGACUGAGCCGUUUCGAGAAAAGCGGGGACUGCUGCUGUCGGGGCUUUCGGGCCUUGGCUUCGGUGGAAACCGCUUUAAUCGCAGUGGCUCGAACCGGGCAAAANUCGUANCA
rnacentral:rRNA from 1 species